CCAGACUCCUACGGGAGGCAGCAGUGGGGGAUAUUGCACAAUGGGGGAACCCUGAUGCAGCGACGCCGCGUGGGUGAAGGAGUGCUUCGGCAUGUAAAGCCCUAUCGGCAGGGAAGAAGCAAGACGGUACCUGACUAAGAAGCCCCGGCUAACUACGUGCCAGCAGCCGCGGUAAUACGUAGGGGGCGAGCGUUAUCCGGAUUCACUGGGUGUAAAGGGAGCGUAGACGGUGAUGCAAGUCAGAAGUGAAAGCCCGCGGCUCAACUGCGGGACUGCUUUUGAAACUGUAUGACUGGAGUGCAGGAGAGGUAAGCGGAAUUCCUAGUGUAGCGGUGAAAUGCGUAGAUAUUAGGAGGAACACCAGUGGCGAAGGCGGCUUACUGGACUGUAACUGACGUUGAGGCUCGAAAGCGUGGGGAGCAAACAGGAUUAGAUACCCUGGUA
rnacentral:rRNA from 1 species